rnacentral:rRNA from 1 species
GACGGGCCAUGCAUGAUCGAACGAGUGCCUUCGGGUGAUAGUGGCGCACGGGUGCGUAACGCGUGGGAAUCUGCCCUUGGGUUCGGAAUAACAGCGAGAAAUUGCUGCUAAUACCGGAUGAUGACGUAAGUCCAAAGAUUUAUCGCCCAGGGAUGAGCCCGCGUAGGAUUAGCUAGUUGGUGGGGUAAAGGCCUACCAAGGCGACGAUCCUUAGCUGGUCUGAGAGGAUGAUCAGCCACACUGGGACUGAGACACGGCCCAGACUCCUACGGGAGGCAGCAGUGGGGAAUAUUGGACAAUGGGCGAAAGCCUGAUCCAGCAAUGCCGCGUGAGUGAUGAAGGCCUUAGGGUUGUAAAGCUCUUUUACCCGGGAUGAUAAUGACAGUACCGGGAGAAUAAGCUCCGGCUAACUCCGUGCCAGCAGCCGCGGUAAU